AGAGUUUGAUCCUGGCUCAGGAUUAACGCUGGCGGCGUGCCUAAUACAUGCAAGUCGGACGAGGGUAGCAAUACCCUAGUGGCGAACGGGUGAGUAACACGUGGGAAAUCUGCCUUUAAGUCGAGGAUAACUGCUGGAAACGGCAGCUAAAACUGGAUAGGUUAUAUAUGGGCAUCCAGAUAUAAUUAAAAGUCCUUUACGGGAAUGCUUAAAGAUGAUCCUGCGUUGCAUUAGCUAGUUGGUGAGGUAGAGGCUCACCAAGGCGACGAUGCGUAGCUGUGCUGAGAGGCAAAACAGCCACACUGGGACUGAGACACGGCCCAGACUCCUACGGGAGGCAGCAGUAGGGAAUUUUCGGCAAUGGGCGAAAGCCUGACCGAGCAAUGCCGCGUGAAUGAAGAAGGUCUUCGGAUUGUAAAAUUCUGUUAUUUGUGGAAGAAAGGUAGUUGGAGGAAAUGCCGAUUACUUGACGGUACCAAAUGAGAAAGCCCCGGCUAACUAUGUGCCAGCAGCCGCGGUAAUACAUAGGGGGCAAGCGUUAUCCGGAAUUAUUGGGCGUAAAGCGUGCGUAGGUGGUCAGUAAAGUCUGACGUGAAAUACCCUGGCUUAACCAGGGGGGGUCGUUGGAAACUGGCUGACUUGAAUCCAGAAGGGGUAAGUGGAAUUCCAUGUGUAGCGGUAAAAUGCAUAGAGAUAUGGAGGAACACCAGUGGCGAAGGCGGCUUACUGGUCUGGAAUUGACACUGAGGCACGAAAGCGUGGGUAGCAAACAGGAUUAGAUACCCUGGUAGUCCACGCCGUAAACGAUGAGCACUAAGUG
rnacentral:rRNA from 1 species